CCAGCCUCCGGAAUUUGCCUUGCGGCACUUUUCCGGGGCAUGUCUCAACAUACCCGACCUUUCAUCCCAGCCUUUUUGUUAUAGGACAAGGGGCGCCGGUUCUCUCUGGCUAUUUCCUGCUGAACGGGGGCGGCGAGGGGUAGGGGCCAGCUGGGAUGAAAGGUCAGCUUAUGCAGGAUUGUGAGGCCACAGGUGUUGCUGCUACUCACACGGGAGAUGCAUAAAUCGGGAGCCGGGCACAUGGGUGUGCCGAGUCCUGGAGGUCAGCUCUUCCGCUGCUGCCGAGACGCCUGCCGGCUGGCGCCCUGACAACGUGUCUGACCCAGAGCAGAGCCUCAGACACUCAGUGCUGGCGACGCGGAAACAGCAACGGAAGCCGGAACAGAAAAGGUCCUGGCAACAGGCGCUCUGCUUCAGUUUUAUCCCCUAGAGGCUGGUGGAUGGCAGGGCCUGGUGUUCCCACACGUCACGGUGCUCCCAAAGUCCUGCCGCUCCAGCAAGUUCAAGGCCUGGCCUGGGGGAGCCGUGUCCAGGACGAGCAUCGGGGGGUGGGCACCAGGAGGCUGGAGCCACAGCCCUGCUGAAGGUCGGCCUGCAGUUUACGCUUCUGAGGGGCUGGGCGUGUGAGGGGGCCCUCCGUGUGGCUCCAGGACGCUGGGGGUCCCCGCGUGUGCCUGGCAGGGCUCCCAGAGGUGGGUGCGGGGCUGUCUCAGGUGCUCAGAACAGUGGGCUGAGCUCAGGGCGUCUCCCUGCUGAAAUAAGCAGGCCCCCCAGGUUCCACAGUGACGUGUGCUUAUGUCUGAUGAAAAACAGCCACUGAUUUAAAAUAGCUGGUCAUUGUGGGCCAACAAGAUAAAUCGGAAUCACUUUAAAUUGUUGGUUAGCAAAAAUUUUUAUAGGAUCUGCUCCAAAACGCAGAUUAAAAAUCAGCAGAUGCUUUCAAAGGUCACUUAAGGGUUCACUUUUGUUUCAGACUUUCAGCAAGCCGUGUGUUCUGUUUAAUAACCCAAACACUGUUCCACGAUUGUCAUAUUGAAAUAGUUCACGCCAGGAAAGGAUGCUGCAGCCCAGAGGGACCUUGGUUACAGGACUGACGGGAGAGAACAAAUCGCCUCAGCAGCUCCUUCAAAACUUCAUAGCUGCGGUUUUGGGUCUGGUUUUCCCCUUAGGGAAUGGGGGCUGGAAACGAAUCUAUUUUCAACCUGGUUUUAAGAAGAAUAGCUUUGAAGCCAAACCUUCAGUGUUUUGGAGUCACUGGAAGUCCUCAAAGCAUAAUUACGAUCAGAACGAGGGCAGGAAGAUGGGUGUCAGCCCAUCACUAGGGCAAGAUGUUCCCCUGGACAGAAAGGUCUCAGAGAUUAACACGCCACUGACAGCGGCCGGGUUCCUGCUGCUGUUUAUUUCAGGGGACCAUAAGCCUUCUUCCUAACCCUCAUGAACACCUGUGAUCCGGACCUGUCUCAGAAGAGGUGGGACCCCCAACCUCAUGCCUGAUGCUGUAAUGACCCCCAUUACAAGGACCCCCUCCCCC